rnacentral:sRNA from 1 species
AUGGACUUGCCAGUUUCAAAAGUUUCCUGAAGUCUGAAUUCAGUGAGGAAAACCUUGAGUUCUGGAUUGCCUGUGAGGAUUACAAGAAGAUCAAGUCCCCUGCCAAGAUGGCUGAGAAGGCAAAGCAAAUUUAUGAAGAAUUCAUUCAAACGGAGGCUCCUAAAGAGUACUCUGAAACAGAAUUCCCUUGAACAUGAAGACUUGAACUCAUUUGGAAGCAUAAAAUUCAUGCAACAGAAGCAUAGAAUAAGAAGAAUCACAGAGGCAGAUGUAAGCAGCACCCUAAUCAAUGGCCAAGUGAGAAGAGCUCUGUCAUGUCACUGUCUAUUUGUGUGUAUCAGAGACAAAAUCCAAUAAACCCUUG